CUCUACCAUGAGUUGCCAUCGAAAACUUGUAUUCGUAUACUACAGUCGAUAGAGUUUAAACGUGGAUCGAUGAAGUUUGCAUUAAAAUCAUACCAUGAGUUCAAUUACCGUAUACUUUACUCGCCAGCGAUAAUUCGAUGGUUUUGUGAUGUAAUGUUGGUGAGCAUGUUAACGUAUCCAACUUCACACUCUAUGAAUGGAUGAAUGAAAGAACGAAUGCCGCUCCUUUCUAACUAUAUAGAAAAGAUAGAGUAGGAAAUAACAAAAAUGUCAAAAAUAACACUGCAAAAUUUAAGUGUCCUAGAACAGUGCUUAAAGCUGAAUUAACAUGAUGAUUUUAAAUUUGUAUUGUUUAUUUCUUGUCAUCGCGACUUUGACGCAGCUGUUGUCAUGACAACAGAUAACAAAACAUGUUUUGUUGAAAUAUUAUUGAUGAAUAAUUUUCCACAAAAAAUUGGAUUUUAACCACGAUAGGAAAAUGAGAACCUGCGCCUAUCCGUUUAAACCGAUUGUAGAAUUUAUGGAAAGAUAUCGCGAUCUGAGUAUGCCCACUGAAGGGCCCCAAGAAAGAGCCAACAAUAGUCAACGGUGGGUGGAACUAACGGACACGCGAACGUGAAAUGCUGAUGCCACCGCACCGGCGACAGGAAAACUACUGAGAAAUUGAGAAAAGUGUGUAUAAAUACCUACUACUUUAUUCAUUUUGAUUGCUUUUAUCUUAUUUCGUCAUUAUUAUUUGUUAAGGUGUGACAGUGACUUUAAGCAGCAAGAAGAAGGCAACUCGCAUACACAGAGCUGCCAAGGAAACACUGGACUGGUGGCGGUCCAGGUUCUUCCCUGAAGCCAAAGGAUUUAGAGCAGAGUGCUUGUAAAUAACUACUUGUAAAUUAAAUCCAUAAUAAAGACCUAGGGUAACUGGAUGGAUAUACCUACCUUAUUAUUGUAAAACUUAAGAUAUUAUAAUUAAUUAAAUACA